rnacentral:lncRNA from 1 species
AUAGCCCCACCUCACCGAGCUAUAGUCCUACAUCUCCGGCCUAUAGUCCUACGUCUCCGGUUUAUAGCCCUACCUCUCCAGCCUAUAGCCCUACCUCGCCAGCCUACAGCCCAACUUCGCCUGCUUAUAGCCCAACCUCGCCUUCUUAUAGCCCAACUUCACCUUCCUAUAGCCCUACAUCACCUUCCUAUAGCCCAACCUCACCUUCCUAUAGCCCAACCUCACCUUCAUACAGUCCCACUUCACCUGCUUAUAGCCCCACUUCUCCUGGUUAUAGCCCUACAUCGCCAAGCUAU